rfam:Camelus ferus unplaced genomic scaffold scaffold455, whole genome shotgun sequence.
GAGGGUACAGCUCAGUGGUAGAGCACACGCUUAGCACGCACAGGGUCCUGGGUUCAAUACCCAGUACCUCCA